GACGUAGGGCGCGAGCGUUGUCCGGAUUUAUUGGGCGUAAAGAGCUCGUAGGCGGCUUGUCGCGUCGACUGUGAAAUCCCGCGGCUCAACUGCGGGUCUGCAGUCGAUACGGGCAGGCUUGAGUUCGGUAGGGGAGACUGGAAUUCCUGGUGUAGCGGUGAAAUGCGCAGAUAUCAGGAGGAACACCAAUUGCGAAGGCAGCUCGCUGGGGACGUUACUGACGCUUGAGGACGCGAAAGCGUGGGGAGCAAACAGG
rnacentral:rRNA from 1 species